rnacentral:rRNA from 1 species
AGCGAACGCUGGCGGCAUGCCUAACACAUGCAAGUCGAACGAGACCUUCGGGUCUAGUGGCGCACGGGUGCGUAACGCGUGGGAACCUGCCCUUAGGUUCGGAAUAACUCCCCGAAAGGGGUGCUAAUACCGGAUAAUGUCUUCGGACCAAAGAUUUAUCGCCUUUGGAUGGGCCCGCGUUGGAUUAGCUAGUUGGUAGGGUAAAAGCCUACCAAGGCGACGAUCCAUAGCUGGUCUGAGAGGAUGAUCAGCCACACUGGGACUGAGACACGGCCCAGACUCCUACGGGAGGCAGCAGUGGGGAAUAUUGGAGAAUGGGGGAAAGCCUGAUAAAGCAAUGCCGCGUGAGUGAUGAAGGCCGUAGGGUUGUAAAGCUCUUUUACCCGGGAUGAUAAUGACAGUACCGGGAGAAUAAGCUCCGGCUAACUACGUG